rnacentral:lncRNA from 1 species
GGCAGAGGCACCGUUGGUGCAUGCCCGGCUGCCGUUGCUGCCCCUGCCUCGUACAAACGUCAGAGAAGGCACAUGACACGCCCCUGGGGGCCAUCUGGCCCAAGUCCACCUGCGCGGCUGAGUGGAGGAUGCUAGGUUGCUGUGCUGUUUCUCCUACUGUCUUGCUGCCGCACCACCCCUCAGAAAAACCGGGUCGUCAGUUUCCUGCGGUUUGCACUCACCAAAUAUACUUAGCAAUUUGCAAUUCACCCGCAGGAUUAUUCCAGCCUCUGUGAUCACACACAGAAGGAUGAGCCUUCCUCGUGAGGGUUGGAGAUGGAGGGAGAAGGGAUGGAGAGUAAGGAUGGGACGGAGGUUGUGGAGCAGCAGACCAACACGCCAGAAAGGAAAAUAAUGAUCAUCUCAAUUUUUAUAUGUGGAGGCAUUGCUUUUCUUCUUUGGGGGAUUUUAAGAUUUCCCAGAAAAUUUGGAAUUCCAAGGCACCUUAGAAACAAGACAUGCCUAGAAAAUUUGACUAUGUGUCCACAAGGCUGGAACUGAAUCAAUAAUAAUUGCUUCUUUCAAUCUGAACAUGAAACAACGUGGAUCAAUGGCUGAGAAAACUGCAGAAGUUAUGGAUCUCUGGCCAGGCUCAACUCUCAGAAUGAAAUGGGAAUCUUUGAUGCAUUAUCUGGGGCCGUCUUUAUAUUGGUUUGAACUGAGCAAGCACAAUGCAAACAAAACGUGGAUGUGGGCAGAUGGAGCUACAUUCAGCAAUUGUGAAAGAAUCGAGUUUUGUGCUAUGAGUCAUGGGAGCAAAACGUGAGUAUUUAGAAGUGGAGAGGACCACGAAGAAGGAAGCCCUGGUGACUUGAAGAAAUCAUGGAGAGUUCUCCGGAUUCCCACAAACCUAUGGGGUUUAGAUUCCAGCUAAUACUUACACGGGUCUCAGAAGGACAGAGGGCAAGGGUUAACAUCUGGCUGAUAUUAAAGUCUCUGCACCUCUUAAUAUUUUACUUUGGCCUAGUUUUCUUUUCUUCGCUUUUACAUUUCCUGAUAUAAUGAGUAAUUCUCUUUUGAGUAUUAACUUGUACCAUGAACUAUGCUAAAUAUUUUUACCCCUAAAUGAUGAAGAAUUUUUAUCAUUUUUUGCUGAAAUAAAUGAGCAAAUGAAAGAUUGUUUACCUGGGAUUAUAGUAAAUGGUAGAACCACAUUUUAAAUUCAGCUGGGUCUCACACACAUUACAGACAUUCAAACAAUGU